rnacentral:rRNA from 1 species
UGGGGAAUUUUGGACAAUGGGCGAAAGCCUGAUCCAGCAAUGCCGCGUGUGUGAAGAAGGCCUUCGGGUUGUAAAGCACUUUUGUCCGGAAAGAAAUCCUCUGGGUUAAUACCUCGGGGGGAUGACGGUACCGGAAGAAUAAGCACCGGCUAACUACGUGCCAGCAGCCGCGGUAAUACGUAGGGUGCAAGCGUUAAUCGGAAUUACUGGGCGUAAAGCGUGCGCAGGCGGUUUUGUAAGACGGAUGUGAAAUCCCCGGGCUUAACCUGGGAACUGCAUUCGUGACUGCAAGGCUAGAGUAUGGCAGAGGGGGGUUAGAAUUCCACGUGUGAGCAGUGAAAUGCGUAGAGAUGUGGAGGAAUACCGAUGGCGAAGGCAGCCCCCUGGGCCAAUACUGACGCUCAUGCACG